rnacentral:lncRNA from 1 species
CUCUUUGCGUCACCUAAUGUUCGAACUUGGUUCCACCUCCCUCUUCCACCAAAUACACGCUCCCGUUCCUCUGCUUCAGACAAUUGUGAUGCCAUGGAAACGAGAGUGUUUGAAGAGGUCGCAAGCAUAUUCUCCAGAGCAAAAAUCCUUGAGUUUCUUGCACCCGGAGACAUGGUAUCAUCAUCAACGCUGCUUUGGUUACAGAAGACGUAAACGGUUUACUAUUUUUUCAGUAAUGAAAUGGUAGUGGUACUGGUUUAUGCAAAAUCACCACUCACCUUAUCUUGGCAUUCUUGAGCAACUCGUUUUCUUCCCUUAGCCUUGCAACUUCCUUCGCCAUUCUUGCUCUCCUGAAUUAUAGACAGGAGAAAGUUUAAUAGGAACAUUAUUUUAGAAUCAUGCCAUGAAGAAAGAUAUAAAACAAGCACAUACUCUUCCAUUUGCCUCUCGUACUCAGAACGCACUUCGUGAACCCGAACAGUGACUUCAAUCUCAUGCUCAAUUGCUUGCAUCAAUGCCUGCAAAUAAAUCAUCAGAAAGUUGCAUUAACAAACCAACCAACACAGUCACCUAAGUAACUGGAAAAACAAAGCAUCGGUUUCAUAUAAGUUGGCGGGUGUUACCUGAGUUCCUGGACCAUUAGCACUUGCACCACCUGCGUAUAUAGUAGGAUAACCAGUUAGUAAUUUAUACCAACAAAGAUAGAAUAAUUUAUACCAACAAACAUAGAACUGAUUAUACUAAUCCUUACUCAAUGUCUCCCGCGAAGACGCCUUUCGAUUUUCUAAAAGCUCUUUGAGUCUUUUUGUCGCCUGGGAAGCCUCUUCUGUCUUUCUUUGCAAAACCUGUUAAAACCACAGACGAUUGAGCAGACAUGAUAAUAGAAAAGAUCAAGUUAAUUUGUCUGAAAGUUUAUAAAGAUGUGCGCACCAGCUUCUGUUUUUGAUUCAGAGCCAUGAGCUUGUGCAUCUCAUACUCGUUUCUCCUUCCCUCUUUUUUUAGCUGGUUAAAUUUCAAAAUACAAUAUAACGAGAGGUUCAGUACACACAAGAGAUUUCUGAAUAACCAUGUCAAAUGUCUUCCAAACUACAACGAGACUUUCUACAAGCACAUGUUGUAUUUGAAUAGAGGUGGUGACUAAUGAUUGAGAAGAUGAAACUUGUUUAACUUGUUCCUUAGUGGUGCAAGACAGACACACUUAUCAAUCAAGUAAGCCUCAAAGUGAUCAAGAAAAAUCUAAUAUACCUGCAUGACUUCCUUCUCUCUUGAGGCCUUCCAAGCCCUGAACUGUUCUGAUUCUUGCUUAAUUUUUUGCUGCAAUUGCACCUGCAAGUCCAACCGAAGCAGAAAAGUAUAGUUAAGAGACACAGCAUGAGCAUAUAUGUUACAGUGUAUUAAAAUGGAGAUCACAGGAGAAAAAGAACACCUUUUGGGACUUAAUUCUGUGUAUUUCAUCUUGUAGUUUUCUUGCUGCGUCGUCACUUUUCUGCUUUUGCCUUAAGAGUUGAGCUUGUGCAUCUUGUUUCUUCUUCAACUCAGAAACCUAAAGGGACGAUGCAUCAUGAAAAACCAUACUGUAUGUAGAUGACUGAGUAUAGCUGAUAAACCAAAAGAGGCGGUACCUGGGUUUCAAGCGUGUUCAGUUUCUGAAGAUACGAUUCCUUUAGUUUUUGGGCACCAUCGCCUGGGGCAGAUGGUAUGCUCCGCGAUGCGGGUUUAAAUAUUUUCAUAAUUUUUGAAAAGUUCUUUGUACACUAUAUUCAUAAUUUUAGUAAAAAUUUUAUUUGAUUAAUAUUUAAUUAUAUAAUUUAUGUUUUUAAUUUUUUACUAAAAUACUUUUUCGGAUAACAAUACAAUAUAUAUAUAGAAAUUAUAUUUUUUAAUUAUAUUUUUAUAUUUUGGAUAAUUCAAUAUUUUAUUUUUAAUUAUAUAAUUAAGAAUUUUAUUUGAUUAAUAUUUAGUUAUAUAAUUAACUUUUUACUAAAAGACUUCUUCAUAUAACAAUACAAUAUAUACAAAAAUUAUUUUUUUUUUAAUUAUAUUUUCAGAUUGUGGAGAAUUUUUACUAUUAUUUUUAUUUUAAAAUUUUGGUAGUAUAUUCGAGACUCAUAACGAUUUCUAGUCUAAAAUAAAGGUUGUUUGUAUAAAUAGAUUCACAUUUAAAUAAAAAAAAGAUACAAAUUCUGAAGGAAAAAAAACAUAUAUAUAAUUAAGUACAAUAAUUUUCUUGAAUUACUUUAUUCAAAGCUCUAAAAUUUUCUGGAAGUGUUUCACGAGUUAGAAAGGGGCUUUUGUGUAAUUGUCAUCAGAAGUUAGUUUAAUACCAGAAGAUUAUUACCGGAGACGACAGCUUUAAGAAGGAACGUGGGCAAUUAACACUGUUUUAGGUUGUCGGUGGGGAAGAAAAAAUGACAUAUGUGGACAGAUUUUCAAUUAUUCUCAUUUAUCUACUUGUGUUUUUCAAGAUUUAAAAAGCUAAAAUCGUCGAAUUUAAGGUGUCGAUAUAUAAUGUGAAAAUAUGAGACUACUAUUCUAAAAAAGAAAAAAGACUAGCCUUGGCUUAUUAAUUUCGUACUGGUAAAGUGGUAGUAUGGUAUUGUUUGUUGAUUCAUUAGUUCAUUAUUAAUUUUACUGAUAUAGUAUUGCCGACACUAUCAAAAACUAACCCAAUAGUAACAUUCGGUUUGGUUUUUGUUUGACUAAAAUAUCCGAAAUAAAGACAACAAACCAAACACCAGUUGUAUUAAUAUUAGUGGUGAAAGUUUCAUUCAUUAAUUGAUCACCGUGAAGGCGUGAAACUAACCAUCAAGUUCAAACAUGUAUCUCAAUGAUUUUGUAUUGUCAACAAGACUCACAACUCUAAAAAUUCGCAUAUGCAUUCGUUCAUCUAGAACAUGUUCUUGACACACACCAAAACAAAGAUUAUCGGAUAAUAAGAAAAAGAUCCAAACCCAUCUUUCCUCGUUCGUCAAGCAACGUCUCCGUUUCCUGGUUAGAUCCGACGAGUGUGGUUCUCUUUUUCAUCUGAAGUUGUACUUCCACUUGCCCCACCAGAACUGCUCUGCACAAAACCACCAUUACCAACUGAUUCACCACCGCUUUGGUCGGCGUUUCUUUCUCUCAGCAUGUUGCUGCCUUUAGAAGUCAUCGACCUCGGUAGCUUCAGUUUGGUAUUAUUUGCCUCUCCAGAGUCGCUCGGCUCCUGAGAUGAAGUUGUUGCUGUUGUUGCUGGUGGUGGAUCUACAACGAGCUGAAGCAGAGGCUUCCUCCAUUUCCUUCGUUUCAUUGGCUUUGGCACAUUUGUUUUACCCUGAAACCAAAUAUCAUCAAAUAAGCUAUCUGCUGUCACAGAAACGGAGAAAUGAUCAAAUACAAUGAAAAAGUCUUAGAGAAUGUUACCGUCGUGUUUCCUAUGUCUGACAGAGGCUUUCUUCUUGUUCUGGUUCCUUCUCCAUCAUUAGUCUCCUCAACUGGCUUGUCAGCAAGAGCGUUUUGGAGCAGCAAAGCUCCACGUGAAGCAAGGACUUGUUGUUGUUCUUCCUGAGAACUCUCACUGUUGUUGUUCUGCUUUUCGUCUGCGUUCCUGUUGGAACAUUUAACUGAAGAGCAACCGCAUGAAGGACCACAAGAUCCCUUUGUAGCUCGACACUGACAUUUCAUCGUUUUGCAAGAAGAGCUCUUACUGCAAGUGCAGCACACAUCAGAUGUUGACGUGGGUUUCACUGCCUCAUCUGAAGGAGAGUCCAGGUUCUCUUCGUAUGAACGCCUCGGCACCACACUAGAGCGCCGUUUUCCCACUUUGAAGUUUCUUUUCCUGUUCAGUUUUAUAACUGAUUCCUGCUCCGACUCACGCUCUGAUUCUUGCUCAGGUUUCCACUCAUCGUCAAGAUCUGGAUCUUCCCGUUCAUGGUCCGAGUCAUCAGAAUCAGAGGUGUCCAUGUCCUCAUGAACUAUAACCGAGUUCCGGGCUUCCUGCUUUUUCAAGCUGUGCUCGUUGUUUAAAUUCCCCUCCGCAGACCUUUUGAUCAAUUCAGAAGCCUGUAAAAUGGAAUCCAUGCAAAAUUUCAGAGGAUAAGUGGCAUUAGCUAUCAAGAUAAAACAAGAGUAGUAGAAGCUAAUUUUACUAACCUGUGCCUUCACCUGAUGCGCGAGGUCUGCUUUUUGGAUCUCCAAGUAUCUAACAAAACUGCUAAACUUCACAAUUUUUUCUUUCAGGUCUCUUAUUAGGACGUCCUUUUCCCUGCAGUCUGCUUCUCUAUCUCGAGCUAGACACCUUUUAAUUAAACAAUGGACAUGUAUAAGAAUAAAGAGUGAGUUGGGAGUCAUAUUUGGAAUAUGAUCUCUAAAAAAGCUUCAGUGAGAUCUUACCUCGCAGUUGAUGCCAAAUUGAACAGAUAGUUCAUGAUACUCUUUGCGUCACCUAAUGUUCGAACUUGGUUCCACCUCCCUCUUCCACCAAAUACACGCUCCCGUUCCUCUGCUUCAGACAAUUGUGAUGCCAUGGAAACGAGAGUGUUUGAAGAGGUCGCAAGCAUAUUCUCCAGAGCAAAAAUCCUUGAGUUUCUUGCACCCGGAGACAUGGUAUCAUCAUCAACGCUGCUUUGGUUACAGAAGACGUAAAG